AUGUUUCUGGCCCCACACACCAGGGGGCACACUCUAGACCUUGUUUUUACCCUGAGUCUAAAUGCUGACAGUGUUUGUCCUGAAGACGUUUAUAUUUCUGAUCACCAUUGCAUUUUCUUUAACUUGUCCGUUUCUGCGUCCCCACCUCCUGCUCGCCGUCUGGUUAGUUCUCGUUUUCUUAAUGAGAGCACAGCUAGCAAUUUUUCUGCUGCUUUUGAUCCACCUUGUUCUUCUGAUAAUGACCCAGAUUCCUUAACUUCUCAGUUUAACCAGCACUGCCUCUCCAUUCUGGACAAUAUCUGUCCUGUCAGAACCAGAUCAGUUCCUGCAGUGAACCCUACUCCCUGGUUUAAUGACAGCCUUUGUAGCCUAAAGCGCCAAUGCAGAAAAAUUGAGCGCUUGUGGAAGAAAACCCAUCUCCACGUCAAUCUGCUGCACCUAAAGGAUCUUCUGACAUCCUUUAACUCUGCAGUCAGAGACGCUAGGGUUUCCUAUUUUUCCAACCUGGUGUCCCAGAGCAAAGGGAACCCCAAGGUGCUGUUUAACACCAUCAGCAGCAUCGUCUCUCCUGCCUCUCCUACAUCCUCCGUCCACUCUGUUACAGACUGUGAGAACUUUCUGUCUUUCUUUGUGGACAAAGUCAAUAAGGUUAGAUCUAGCAUCUCUCCUUCAGCCUUAUCGCUGCCUCUCCCGACUCCAACCAGGCCCGUCAUCCUAGAUAGCUUUGCUCCUGUUUCUUUGCCUGAGUUAACCAAGCUAGUUAACUCUAUGAAGACCUCUGCAUGCCCCCUCGACAUCUUACCCUCAUCUUUGUUAAAAAGUGCUUUUCAGUCCAUCGUUCCCAGCGUGCUCUCCAUUAUCAAUGUAUUAGAGGAUUUACAGUACUUUAAGAACGCUGUAAUCCACCCGCUUCUUAAAAACCGAGUCUCGACCCCUCUCUCCAUAGCAGCUUCAGACCCAUCUCUAAACUUCCGUUCAUCUCCAAGAUCUUGGAAAAGGUUGUGCCUAAACAACUCACAACUGCUCUUGAUGAACAUAACAUUUAUCAUUGCUUCCAGUCAGGUUUUCGUAGAGCUCAUUCUACUGAAACAGCUCUUCUUAGGGUCUCUAAUGACCUUCUGA
rnacentral:lncRNA from 1 species